rnacentral:lncRNA from 1 species
AUGAUGAUAAUAAACUUGUUGUCGUGUGGAACUGCAGUAAAGAGAACAGGAACAGUUUCAGACUCCUGAGGCGGUCGGCCAUCUUUCCCUCUCAGAGGUAAAUCCUGCAGGUGUGCCGACAGGUGAGCCGGUUUUUAUUGGUGCACAGUUGGUCGUAAGCAGACGUUGAAAUCUGAGCGCGUGCAGAGAGGACAGUAGGACUGGUCACAUGACAGAAGUCCUCAGAGGCUCAGGUGGAUUUACAGCCGCUCACCUGGACGUGGCGUCCAUUAAAACGCUGAACGCUCUCGGAGCUGCAGCAGGAUUUAUGAAAGGAAACGGCUGCGCUGAGCUGUUUCUGUUUUAUUGUAUUUUCCAGAGGAAAGUGUCACGUUCCUGCGCUGGCUGGGAAAAACUGGACACAGGAAGCCGAUGACAACAUCUGGAUGUGAUUUCAGAGAGACGGCAGGAAAAUGAAAAGUGAAGCAGCGACAGAAACAACCGCAGCUGGAUGUUUGAGUGUGAGACACAAACUAAAAUAAAUCUGAACAGCAGGGUCACGACCCCCCACAAACCCUGAUAAAGUACUUCCCUGCAGCUCGGAGGCUCCUCACAAAACCAGACUCUGAAACUCUUUAGUUCUGCUGCUUUCAUCGGGACCAAAACAGUCAGAACACAGAGUAAAACCAGGAUGAAGAAAACGUAUCCACAGGGACGACCUUUGACCUCCAUCUUCCUUGAACCUACGCUGGUAUGAUGUCAUGGGUUCGAUCUGAUCAGAUCAUGUCUGUGAUCAGAAGACGCAGAAAAACCUGUCCACCUGUCCUUCCGCUGUCCUCACAUGACCCGCCUCUAAACUUAGACUAAAGGAGGUCUGUCGCUGCCUGAUCCGUCACGGGAACACGGUUCGUACUGCACAUGUGCGAAAUGUACGUCACUUCCUCUGCGAGUCGUCUCUGCGAACACUCAGCAGUUCUUCGACCCUCGUGGUUUUCAGCUUCGACACGUGUUCGACCGCUUCAGCGUCAGCGAGCUCACUUCAGUUUAUAACAGUUCUUCCUCCGACUGAAGCAGAGCGCCAGAGAGUCCAGAGAAUGGCGCCCAGUUUCCCGAUUAAAGGUUCUCCAGCUAAAACGUAAAAUCGUAACGUAGUUCUAAAAGGUUUAAAUGAAUAUUUCAGAGUUGAAAUUGAAACUCUGAAUAAAAACGCUGAAGUUCAUCGUCCAUAAUGUGUCGUCGUCUUGUUAAUUAAUUUAAUUAUAAAAUAAAUGAAAUAAACCCCGCCUCCACACUUUGAAAAGUCAGAGAACCAUCAUUUUGACCAGGUGGUGGCGCUCUCUGUGGUCUCACCGUUCGGGCGAAUGAAGCUCGCCGGUCACAUCACCAGAUUGUUUCUGAAUCGAUCGUAAAAUAUAUUGAAAUGCCAAGAGAGGAAGUGACGAACGUUUCGCACAUGCUCAGUACACAUCGGGAGAGGAGGGGGAGGAGCUUAACAGCACGGCUGUGUCUUUGAUAGAGCUGCUGGGUGGGCGUGUCCUGUAGGAUUGUCCUGAUUGGACAGCAGAAGCUCAGGUUUUGUGUCCUCAGAUGUUCAGGGUUCCUGAAAACCUGUCGGGGUAUAAAGGUCGUUUCACAAACGAGCGUUUCUCUUCCUGCGAUUUUUUCAGACGUCAAUAUUUGUUUCGAACCCGUAUCCCGUCAAUACAAGCGUCACAUCAGCGACGUUUUCCCAGCAUUCUUUUCUCGCUUCCACCCGGGACGCGUCUUUAUCCCCCCAGAAAGUCGCAGAAUCACAUCAGGCUUGAUGUGUUCAGUCAGGCGCGUCAAAUAUUUCGUAGUUUCAUGUCGUAAAUUUCCGACGUUCCCGGAGUGCGAGGACCUUCAGCCUCCAUGAGUCUGAGGUUCGACCCUGUCAGGUAUCCUGGUCCGGAUCAUUCAGCAGGUCCUCUGAGGGGGUCUGGUGUGACUCUAGUAGGACUGGUUUUAGGGUCUUUGAAGGGUCCAUUCAGGACGUCUGAGUGAAGAGAAAUCCCUGAUAGACGGACGCAGUGGCGGCGGCGUUUCCUCCUCCCGGGCUGUUUUCACUCGCUGCCUUUUUAAGCGAGUUUGUUUGGCGGUUUGGUCUCUUAAAGUAAACGUCCGCGAGCGUUUCUAAAUAUUUGUCUGCAGUAAUAACAGGCUGAAGUGUGAAAGUCAUUAAAAAGCCAUUCUGACUUAAUCACACGAACACGUCCGACUCUUUAAUUUCCCGUCUGAAACAUAAUUAGCAGAAACCUUUGCUGCCCUCCUUUGUCUGAGCUCGCCUGGAGAUGAAAAGCGGCGCUCGCACACGGAGACGAGAGGAAAAAAGAGAAGGAGGAGAAAACGAGCAGCUGAUGGAGGUUAACAGGUUUCCAGCGAGCGUGUUGUCGUUUUCCUGUCCGUGUUUCAUCAUCGUGUUCAGCUUUAAUAUCCACCGUCACCGGGGAGCGGCGCCAAUAUGUACCAUCAUCGUCUGAGGCGAUGAAGAAAUGAAGAACACAAUAACAUCAAAGAAAACAAAACGACGGCGUCGCUGUAAAGGCGGGAAAAAUGACACUUUACAGGAAAAACAGCCGCCGUCAUUUCCAUACGAGACGUCGAACCUUCAAAUAAACCCCCGAGGUGUUCGGGGGUCCCCCCAGAGAGAGAGAGAG